rnacentral:rRNA from 1 species
UACGGAGGGGGCUAGCGUUGUUCGGAAUUACUGGGCGUAAAGCGCACGUAGGCGGCUUGGUAUGUCGGGUGUGAAAUCCCCGGGCUCAACCUGGGGAACUGCAUCCGAAACUGCCUUGCUCGAGUAUGGGAGAGGGAAGUGGAAUUUCCGGUGUAGCGGUGAAAUGCGUAGAUAUUCGGAAGAACACCAGUGGCGAAGGCGACUUACUGGACACAUAUGACGCUGAGGUGCGAAAGCGAUGGGGAG